GAUUUGGCGGUGUUUUAUUCCUAUUAGAGGAACUUGUCCCUUAAUCGAUAAUCCUCGUUUUAUCUUACUUUUAUUUGUUAUCAGUAUGUAUACCUCCGUUAUAGGUUUAUUUUUUAAGAAUUAUUUACUAUUUAAUUAAUUAAUUUUUAUUUCAGGUCAAGGUGCAGCUAAUAUUUAAGUGGAGAUGAGUUACAAUAUUAUUAAUUUGGAUUUGGAUUUGAAAUAUUUUAAUUAAAUUGGAUUUAAUAGUAAUUUUAAUUAUAAAGUUGAAUUGAAUAUGGCUCUAAAACAAGUACACAUCGCCCGUCGCUCU
rnacentral:rRNA from 1 species